UCCUACGGGAGGCAGCAGUGGGGAAUAUUGCACAAUGGGCGCAAGCCUGAUGCAGCAACGCCGCGUGAGGGACGAAGGCCUUCGGGUUGUAAACCUCUUUUAGUAGGGAAGAAGCGACUGGGUUUUCCUGGGAGUGACGGUACCUGCAGAAAAAGCACCGGCUAACUACGUGCCAGCAGCCGCGGUAAUACGUAGGGUGCAAGCGUUGUCCGGAAUUAUUGGGCGUAAAGAGCUCGUAGGCGGUUUGUCGCGUCUGCUGUGAAAACCCGAGGCUCAACCUCGGGCCUGCAGUGGGUACGGGCAGACUAGAGUGCGGUAGGGGAGAUUGGAAUUCCUGGUGUAGCGGUGGAAUGCGCAGAUAUCAGGAGGAACACCAAUGGCGAAGGCAGAUCUCUGGGCCGUAACUGACGCUGAGGAGCGAAAGCAUGGGGAGCGAACAGGAUUAGAUACCCUGGUAGUCCAUGCCGUAAACGUUGGGAACUAGAUGUGGGGACCAUUCCACGGUCUCCGUGUCGCAGCUAACGCAUUAAGUUCCCCGCCUGGGGAGUACGGCCGCAAGGCUAAAACUCAAAGGAAUUGACGGGGGCCCGCACAAGCGGCGGAGCAUGCGGAUUAAUUCGAUGCAACGCGAAGAACCUUACCAAGGCUUGACAUAUACCGGAAACGGCUGGAAACAGUCGCCCCGCAAGGUCGGUAUACAGGUGGUGCAUGGUUGUCGUCAGCUCGUGUCGUGAGAUGUUGGGUUAAGACCCGCAACGAGCGCAACCCUCGUCCUAUGUUGCCAGCACGUAAUGGUGGGAACUCAUGGGAUACUGCCGGGGUCAACUCGGAGGAAGGUGGGGAUGACGUCAAAUCAUCAUGCCCCUUAUGUCUUGGGCUUCACGCAUGCUACAAUGGCCGGUACAAAGGGCUGCGAUACCGCAAGGUGGAGCGAAUCCCAAAAAGCCGGUCUCAGUUCGGAUUGAGGUCUGCAACUCGACCUCAUGAAGUCGGAGUCGCUAGUAAUCGCAGAUCAGCAACGCUGCGGUGAAUACGUCCCCGGGCCUUGUACACACCGCC
rnacentral:rRNA from 1 species